rnacentral:tRNA from 1 species
UGGGGCGUCGUCUAAUGGUAGGACACCUGGUUUUGGUCCAGGCAGUUGGGGGUUUGACUCCCCACGCCCCAGC